CACGACGACAGCGUCACUGCUCUGAUCCCUCUUCCUCCUUCGAGCUGCAGCAGGCGACUGUUUUCAGCAGUGAAGCUCUGAUAAGCUCCCUUUACAUCACCUGUACAAAACACCAGCCAGCAGACACAUUGGAUCACAUAACUUCCCCCCUGAAGGUGUUUCACCUGGUACGGUACAAAUUACCCUGUGUCAACGGACCUGUGGCUCAGAUAAAGACAAACUCUCAGAAACAGAGUUUCUCCAAAUCAGCUGACAAGUAGAGAAAAAGACAGAAAGCAACAGAGGAGGGAGCCGUCCGGCAGGAAGCACAGACGUCUGCAGAACCCACCAAAGAAACAAAUGAAUUCAACAUCACUAAAUGGGUACAAUCUUUUUCUCUGAAAGAUGUAGGAGGGGUUGCUCCAUGUGAACCAGUGGGACGAUCAAACAAAGCCGACAUUCAGCUCGGUGUGUGUCUCCACUUCACUGCCUGAUUCUUCACUGGAGGAACCCAAAGGCCCUUGUUGUCUUUCAAUGUGCUGCACACAGACGUUUACAUGAAGUGAAACCAGUGUCAUCUGUUCAACUCCUCACAUGUGUGUCAGCUUCUCUCCUGAGGCCUCUGCUCCCCCUGUUCCCAGUAAAGAAUGUGUUUGUGUCUUCAUGCUGAUGCAGUAGGUGAGGCCGGAGUUGUUUAUUUGAUUGAACUUUUCAGGCUUUUCAUCUCGAGAAUGUGAAGCAUGAGUUCUAAAAACAAAAGAUUCUCCUGCACGCCCAGAAUCACCUGCUCCUCCACCCGAACCUCCACCGCUGGGCUCCCAUAACCUGAGGUGAUUAUUAUCUCAAGCAACUGGGAUGGGAAACACCAGCUACUUGUACAGAGCCUCUCAGCAGCUAAAACAGAGAAAACCCACCAUCUAGUGGUGUGUUCGAGUGUGGAGCAGCUUCAGCAGGGAACAGGUCACAUGGUUUAUGUUAAAGCCAAUUUAUAAGUGAGGAAAUUCUGCCCAGGCCUAAUAUUCUGCUCAAAUUCAAUCAAGCAGGACCAACUCUCUUUGCACCACUCAUUUGAAAUGAGCUGCAGCAUCCUCUGAAGCUUCACACAUCUGGUUACAUGGGCCAUUUUAAGAAUGUAGUAUAAACCAGGACAUGAGUUUGAAUUUUAUUGACUUUUCUUCAUGUUUUUUUAUAUACUUUUUUUAAUAUGUACUACUAGUCUUUUGUUCUUAUUGUUUUGUAAGGGUGUAUAUGUACAUUCAAAUUGUUUGUUCCAUGUGUUAUUGAUGCAUGUAUGUACUCAGGUCUCAGAUAUU